AUAUGCCAUACACAUCACAUUCACACUCAUGUUACCCCUGAUCAGCAGUUGUCAUCCAGACAUCUCUGCCAAGGCUGGGCUGUGAGAGCACCCCCAAAAUUGCCUCAUCUUAAGAGAAAACAUGAGCGCAGGUCAGCUUAAAUUCUUAUGGACCCCUUCAUCCAUUUUUACAACAGGAUAUCCCUAAAAGGGAUCACAGAUCUCCAGUCUGAAGUCACUCAGAUCAGUCAAGUGGAAAUUUGCCAUUGACUUGGAAGAACCAUGGCUCAAACAAAGGUCUCCUCCGUCUUCACAAUGGAUGUCAAGACAGAUUGUCAGGGGAAGAGUAGUCACGGUCAAACCAGAAGGAAAAAAUAAGAGUGAACAAAGAAAAUUAAGUGAUGAUCUGAGCUCCCUCUGGAUCCAUCACAUUCUCACAAGCAUUUCUCUGAAUGUACUUAAACAAAUUGAGAAAGUACAAUGACAAUUAAAAUAUGCUGGAUGCCUAUUUUUACUGCUGUUUUACAGGAAGUAGAAAAUAAUGUGGUACGACUGAAUUUAUUUAUUUAAAAUCCACUGAGAAAUACUUUGAACUGUGAAAAUGAAAUGGGAAUUGCAGUAAGCAAAAUUAGAAAGAAUCAGAUCUUAUAAUCAGCAGUAUAAUACCUACAUGGCAUUUUACGACAGAUUUCAUUUUGUGACUUGAACAAAACAAACGGUUCAAUAAUUUUUGAACUUGAUGGAUGCCCAAGGCAAUAUGAUAUGUAUCUAAACAUUUGAUAUCUAAGAUCUAUCUAAACAUUUACAAAAGUUUUCAAAGGCUUACAUACCUUUAAAACAUACCCCAUACACCUAAAUCACUUAUGCAUGUUUAAAAAAAAUAUAUCAUCAGGCUUAGGUGCGGAACUUAAUUCCAAGAAGCUAACCUGGAAUAAUUGUUUAUAACUCUGGUGUGGAUUUGUAUAGAGUUAGUAAUUGCCCUGUUUUAUAUUAAACAGUUUUAAAAAUGAAAUUACAAUGUCUGCACAUGGAAGAUAUGCACAGACAUCUUAAAGAAAUGCUGUUGAACUGAAGUAAUUUAGUAGUGAGAAUCAAAAACAUUCUGGGAACUAGUAGGAAGUUGGUCUCUAUCCUUAGAUGGAUUUUGUUAGUUAAUUGGAUACUUCAAAUUAUGGUCUAUCUAAAUUCAAAAUACAGAAUGAUGAAGAAAAUACAUGAAGAAAAUGUCUUCCUCAGAGCAGCCACAACUAAUUUUGUUCACCGAGCUUAAAUCCUAAGUUUUAAUUGACAUGUCUGUUGCAUGCCUAUUUGCAGGUGGUGGUGUUAUUGCUAAACUUAUACCCAUCUGUCUUAUUAAGCCCAUUUCUUUUUCCAUAAUGAUUGUUUGUAGCACUAGUUCUCCAUGUCACAUUCAGCAUGUAAUUUCAGGUUAUGGUAAUUCAAGAGGCAAAAGACUUACUUAUUUUCCCAGAAGAAGAUAAAUUGUGAGGAAAAAUAUCCUAAAAUAUUAUGUUAAUACAAGUGGCCCCAGAUCUGACCCAGACAAUUCUGAUACUUGUUAGAUCCACAUUCUGCCCACUGUUCGCUGAUUCCCCCAGGAACUACACAGUCUGCUCUGUCAGCGGUUUGUGUAGGAUCAAGGUCUGGCUCAAACUUUUCUUUAUUUUUCACAGAUGGUUCUAUUGUUUUCAGCAUGAGAGUGGCCUCAUUGCAAGUUAGAUAAGUGUUGUAAGGGUGAAUAUAUCUGGGGGUCCUGAUCUGGAAACAAACAAACAAACAAACAAACAAACAAAAAUAACAUAAAUCCUUUCCCAGAGCCAUGAAUUUACGUCUGAUUGUGGGAAACAAAAAUAAAAAUUGUUUGUACCACAUUUCCACAAUUCCUGAAAAAUGACAGGACAUUUUGCUGUCUGUGUUGUUACCAUCAGUUGAGAGAGAGAGAGAGAGAGAGAUAAAAUGAGGGCAGAGGGGCAAGUAAAAUAAUUUCAGAUCUAAUUAUUUUUCCUUAAAUCCAGGCGAAAAUCAGUGUAAUUUCAGUACAACCCUCUCCAUAAUGACAAAGUUAAUUCUUUAGUUUACUGAAAUGCAGAUAGCUUGUCCCAGAGUUUCCCAUCUCACUGGCUGGCUUUGGUAUUUUCCAGACAAGACAAGCAAUGGAGAUGAUCUGGUUCAGAAACAUUGACUUCCUCUUCCUUUCUCUUUGAUAUCACCCAUGUACUGAUUGGUAGAAUCCUAACAAUCACCUGAGCCAGUCAGGUCCUUGGUUUUGCAGCAACAGUGCCAGAGAUUUUAACUUUCAAACUGCAACAAUCCUAGACUUGUUGCGUAGGAAAUCUAUAUCAAACCCUUUAAUAUCUUUUUGGAAUGUCAAUCUCUAUAUUGUACUUGCUUUGAUAAGACUUAUUGUGUCCAUUCCUUUUGCAGAGUACAGUCAUAGUGAAAAUUCAGGAGCUUGUGUUUCUUCUUUUCCCCUUUGAAUGGAACACACCUUUAAGUCUAUCAACUUGUAGGCUUACAUUGUUUUAAGUAACAGUAGACUAGAAAUUUAAAACCAUAUGCUGGAUCAGAUUCCUUUCAAAUAAGGUCAAUGCAUGGGUUAGUAUUGUACUGAAUUAGUAUGUUACCCUGACCAUUAGAAUUAGAGUUUGCGUAAAACAAUAGGUCAAGUAAAUUAUGAAAAAUUGUCUCUUAUUUUAAAUAAUAUUAUGUUCAAUGGUGGAAAAAUAUUUUUUACAGAUGGUGAUUCUUCCAG